UACAGAGGGUGCGAGCGUUGUCCGGAAUCACUGGGCGUAAAGGGCGCGUAGGCGGCCACGCACGUCCGUUGUGAAAUCGCCCGGCUCAACUGGGCGGGGUCAGCGGAUACGGCGCGGCUGGAGCAAGCUAGGGGGCAAUGGAAUUCCCGGUGUAGUGGUGGAAUGCGUAGAUAUCGGGAGGAACACCAGUGGCGAAGGCGGUUGCCUGGAGCUUUGCUGACGCUGAGGCGCGAAAGCGUGGGGAGCGAUCCGG
rnacentral:rRNA from 1 species